GUGAUAUGGACCAACUUUUAUGGG
rnacentral:siRNA from 1 species